GCGGGGCUGGCCGGCGGGGGUGCGCCCGAGGCGGGCGCGGCCGGGCCUGCCGGGCCGUUCGGCGCGGCCGGGCUGCU
rnacentral:tRNA from 1 species